UACAUGUGGGGCAAGCGUUGUUCGGAAUUACUGGGCAUAAAGGGUGCGUAGGUGGCUUGUUAAGUCAGGGGUGAAAGUUUUCGGCCCAACCGGAAAAUGGCCUUUGAUACUGGCGAGCUCGAGUGCGUGAGGGGUAACCGGAACGAGCAGUGUAGCGGUGAAAUGCGUAGAUAUUGCUCGGAAGGCCAACGGCGAAGGCAGGUUACUGGUACGCAACUGACACUGAGGCACGAAAGCGCGGGGAGCAAACAGG
rnacentral:rRNA from 1 species